CGCACAUUGCGCCCUUUGGUAUUCCGAGGGGCAUGCCUGUUCGAGCGUCAUUUCAAACCAUCAAGCUCCGGCUUGGCCUUGAGCGAGAAACGCCCCUGCUGUGGGCGCGCUCCAAAGACUUUUGGCGGUGUUACCGUGCCACGGGCGUAGCGAGAACCUCUAGUUCCACGCCAUGUGGCGGCGGCAGUCACCUGCCUCUAAAGCACAUACUCCAAAGGUUGACCUCGGAUCAGGCAGGGAUACCCGCUGAACUUAA
rnacentral:misc_RNA from 1 species